rnacentral:rRNA from 1 species
AUUGAACGCUGGCGGCAUGCCUUACACAUGCAAGUCGAACGGCAGCGCGGGAGCAAUCCUGGCGGCGAGUGGCGAACGGGUGAGUAAUAUAUCGGAACGUGCCCAGUAGUGGGGGAUAGCCCGGCGAAAGCCGGAUUAAUACCGCAUACGACCUGAGGGUGAAAGCGGGGGAUCGCAAGACCUCGCGCUAUUGGAGCGGCCGAUAUCAGAUUAGCUAGUUGGUGGGGUAAAGGCCUACCAAGGCAACGAUCUGUAGUUGGUCUGAGAGGACGACCAGCCACACUGGGACUGAGACACGGCCCAGACUCCUACGGGAGGCAGCAGUGGGGAAUUUUGGACAAUGGGCGCAAGCCUGAUCCAGCAAUGCCGCGUGCAGGAAGAAGGCCUCGGU